CAGUCGCCGCGGUAAUACGUAGGGUGCAAGCGUUAAUCGGAAUUACUGGGCGUAAAGCGUGCGCAGGCGGUUUUGUAAGACAGAGGUGAAAUCCCCGGGCUCAACCUGGGAACUGCCUUUGUGACUGCAAGGCUAGAGUACGGCAGAGGGGGAUGGAAUUCCGCGUGUAGCAGUGAAAUGCGUAGAUAUGCGGAGGAACACCGAUGGCGAAGGCAAUCCCCUGGGCCUGUACUGACGCUCAUGCACGAAAGCGUGGGGAGCAAACAGGAUUAGAUACCCAGUAGUCCCUGUCUCUUAUACC
rnacentral:rRNA from 1 species